CGGAGGGGGAAAAGUUUUUGAGUCUGUCUGUUCCUCGCUUCAGUGUUUCCCCGAGCCAUUCCAGAGCAGGUCACAAGUGGCGCGGUUUCGGAAUCGGAUGCUGGAAAAGGUUGAACACUCGCUUUCGCUCAGAAUUCAGAAGAAUGGUGAUGGAUCCAUUGGCGCGGACCAACCCACGGCUACAGGGUGAAGCUGUCUGUCCACACGCUCCCAGCUCAGCCAUAGCUUGGGGUAUAGGGAGAGUUUAACAGUCCGUGACUUGUGACAGCCACUGGUGAUGUUUGAUGGCUUCAGAGAAACGGAUGGAACACAUAUUCUCCUUCCUCGUGCUGUCGAUCUUCAUCUUCGUCGUGACCUGCUUGCCUUGUUAUCCGUCAGAGAGAGAGAGAGAGACACGCAUCGGGAAAGUUUAACCUGCUGACGAGACAGGCUGAGAGGAAGAGAGAGAG